rnacentral:rRNA from 1 species
CCUACGGGAGGCUGCAGUGGGGAAUAUUGCACAAUGGGGGAAACCCUGAUGCAGCGACGCCGCGUGAGUGAAGAAGUAUCUCGGUAUGUAAAGCUCUAUCAGCAGGGAAGAAAAUGACGGUACCUGACUAAGAAUCCCCGGCUAACUACGUGCCAGCAGCCGCGGUAAUACGUAGGGGGCACGCGUUAUCCGGAUUUACUGGGUGUAAAGGGAGCGUAGACGGCGCGGCAAGUCCGGAGUGAAAGCCCAUGGCUUAACCAUGGUACUGCUCUGGAAACUGUGGAGCUUGAGUGCGGGAGGGGCAGGCGGAAUUCCUGGUGUAGGGGUGAAAUGCGUAGAUAUGAGGAGGAACACCAGUGGCGAAGGCGGUCUGCUGGACAGCAACUGACGCUGAGGCGCGAAAGCGUGGGGAGCAAACAGGAUUAGAUACCCUUGUAGUC